GUAGGUGGCAAGCGUUGUCCGGAAUUAUUGGGCGUAAAGCGCGCGCAGGCGGGGUUUUUAAGUCUGAUGUGAAAGCCCACGGGUUCAACCGUGGAGGGUCAUUGGAAACUGGAGAACUUGAGUACAGAAGAGGAAAGCGGAAUUCCACGUGUAGCGGUGAAAUGCGUAGAGAUGUGGAGGAACACCAGUGGCGAAGGCGGCUUUCUGGUCUGUAACUGACGCUGAGGCGCGAAAGCGUGGGGAGCAAACAGGAUUAGAUACCCUGGUAGUCCACGCCGUAAACGAUGAGUGCUAAGUGUUAGGGGGUUUCCGCCCCUUAGUGCUGCAGCUAACGCAUUAAGCACUCCGCCUGGGGAGUACGGCCGCAAAGGCUG
rnacentral:rRNA from 1 species